CGGGAAACCGGAGCUAAUACCGGAUAAUAUUUCGAACCGCAUGGUUCGAUAGUGAAAGAUGGUUUUGCUAUCACUUAUAGAUGGACCCGCGCCGUAUUAGCUAGUUGGUAAGGUAACGGCUUACCAAGGCGACGAUACGUAGCCGACCCUGAGAGGGUGAUCGGCCACACUUGAACUGAGACACGGUCCAGACUCCUACGGGAGGCAGCAGCA
rnacentral:rRNA from 1 species